rnacentral:misc_RNA from 1 species
CCCUAAUCGUUUCAAAACCUUAAUUUCAGAUCUAAGAAAUUCUCAAUUAAUCGGAAGGCCUCAGUGUGUGUAACAAUCAGAUCAUUGAUAAAUAAAUUUAUCUCACUGAAAUCCGCUAAGAUAACUAUGUUAUCAUCAUAAGCCCAUUCCAAUUACAUAUAAAAUUCAGUGAAAACAGAGAAAAAAAAAAAAAAAGAGGGGGAAAUUGGAGAAGAAAGGAACUCAGACCGCCAAGGGUUGGUCUUCCGCUUUUGGGCC